UACGUAGGGUGCAAGCGUUAUUCGGAAUUACUGGGCGUAAAGCGUGCGCAGGCGGUUUGGCACGUGGGGUGUGAAAUCCCAGGGCUUAACCUUGGAACUGCACUUCUAACUACCGGGCUAGAGUACGGCAGAGGGGGGUAGAAUUCCACGUGUAGCAGUGAAAUGCGUAGAGAUGAGGAGGAAUACCGAUGGCGAAGGCAGCACCCUGGGACAACACUGACGCUCAGGCACGAAAGCGUGGGGAGCAAACAGG
rnacentral:rRNA from 1 species